CCCUUAGAUGUCCGGGGCCGCACGCGCGCUACACUGAAGGAAUCAGCGUGGCUUUCUCCCUGACCCGAAAGGGUUGGGAAACCCGUUGAAUCUCCUUCGUGAUAGGGAUUGGGGCUUGAAAUUGUUCCCCAUGAACGAGGAAUUCCCAGUAAGCGCGAGUCAUAAGCUCGCGUUGAUUACGUCCCUGCCCUUUGUACACACCGCCCGUCGCUACUACCGAUUGAGUGAUCCGGUGAAUUAUUCGGACUGUAACGCGCUCAGCUUCUGGGUGCAGUUAUGGGAAGUUUUGUGAACCUUACCACUUAGAGGAAGGAGAAGUCGUAACA
rnacentral:rRNA from 1 species